UGACUACGCUUCCGCACGUUUUAAUUUUUAAUUAAUGACCAGUUUGGAGAUGGAGUUUAGGAAAAUUGGAAAAAAAAAAUCGUUUUUUUGUUUUAUGUAGCUAAAUACUUCACUGAUUUCGAAUCAACAAUACGUUUACAUUUGUGUAUAUGCAUUUAGCAUUUGAGUGUGUGUCAUUUGUGGUAGAAUUCACAUUUACGAUUGACAUGCAUGCAAUAGUAAUAAGUAAGAUGUCUUAUUGACUGCUGUUACUAGUUUUUUCUUCUUUCUUUGUGAUCAGAAUAUUCUGGACUUUUCCCUAUAUAUAGUU